rnacentral:ncRNA from 1 species
GCCCUGUGCUCCGAACUGCCUCCGUAUGGAGUGCGUGCCCGCUUCAGGCGGGAUAGGACACAGGGCCGUU